rnacentral:rRNA from 1 species
CCAGCAGGGAUUGCCCUAGUACCGGCGAGUGAAGCGGCAACAGCUCAAAUUUGAAAUCUGGCUUUCGGGCCCGAGUUGUAAUUUGUAGAGGAUACUUUUGAUGCGGUGCCUUCCGAGUUCCCUGGAACGGGACGCCAUAGAGGGUGAGAGCCCCGUCUGGUUGGAUGCCAAAUCUCUGUAAAGUUCCUUCGACGAGUCGAGUAGUUUGGGAAUGCUGCUCUAAAUGGGAGGUAUAUGUCUUCUAAAGCUAAAUAUUGGCCAGAGACCGAUAGCGCACAAGUAGAGUGAUCGAAAGAUGAAAAGCACUUUGAAAAGAGAGUUAAAAAGUACGUGAAAUUGUUGAAAGGGAAGCGUUUAUGACCAGACUUGGACUUGGUUAAUCAUCUGGGGUUCUCUCCAGUGCACUUUUCCAGUUCAGGCCAGCAUCAGUUUUCGCCGGGGGAUAAAGGCAGCGGGAAUGUGGCUCUCUUCGGGGAGUGUUAUAGCCCGCUGUGUAAUACCCUGGUGGGGACUGAGGUUCGCGCUUCUGCAAGGAUGCUGGCGUAAUGGUCAUCAACGACCCGUCUUGAAACACGGACCAAGGAGUCGUCUUUGUAUGCGAGUGUUCGGGUGUCAAACCCCUACGCGUAAUGAAAGUGAACGCAGGUGAGAGCUUCGGCGCAUCAUCGACCGAUCCUGAUGUUCUCGGAUGGAUUUGAGUAAGAGCAUACGGGGCCGGACCCGAAAGAAGGUGAACUAUGCCUGUAUAGGGUGAAGCCAGAGGAAACUCUGGUGGAGGCUCGCAGCGGUUCUGACGUGCAAAUCGAUCGUCAAAUAUGGGCAUGGGGGCGAAAGACUAAUCGAACCUU